CGUAUUUUAGGCCGGUCUGACCGGUUCUAUUUCACCCUGUUUUUUGCGUACUCUUUGUUUCCUCGGUAGGCUUGCCUGCCGAUAGGACAUUUCAACUCUCUUACUAUUAGCAAUCAGCGUCAAAAUAAAUUAUAAUUGUAA
rnacentral:misc_RNA from 1 species